rnacentral:rRNA from 1 species
AUGCCAUAUAACGGGCUUUACUUCAACGGCGUCCCAGAGGCAUCGACGUACAUGAACAUGUACCCGCUGCAUGUGACGGGCCUGACGGCCAGGCCGACGGAGAUAACAUAUGAGUACACCGCCGAGCCUGGCGCACCGUUGACUCGCGUCGUUGUGAACCACACCGGCGUGGCGGAGCGGCUGGUGUGGAACACCGACACAGGGGCGUGGAUCUCCUUCUUCAGCAGGGGGGCGAGGGACGUCACCUGCGAUGCGUAUGGCAAGUGCGGGGCGUUUGGCCUCUGCGACCCGGAGGCGGCAUUGUCUGGGUUCUGCGGCUGUCUGCCAGGGUUCAGCCCCGUCUCGACACCGGCGUGGCAGAUGAAGCAGCAUGCGGGAGGGUGCCAGCGCGACGCGGUUCUGGAGUGUCGUGGUGGGAAGACGACGGACCGCUUCAAGGUGGUGCCUGGAGUGAAGCUUCCUGACACACAGAAUGCGACGGUGGACAUUGAUGCCGCUACGCUGGAGGAGUGCAAGGCAAGGUGCUAUGCCAACUGCUCGUGCUUGGCCUACGCCGCCGCCGAUAUCAGAGGCGGCGGCAAUCGUAGUGGCUGCCUCUUGUGGACGGAUGCCAUCGGUGAUCUUCGCCUCAUUGACAGCAAGCAGGAUCUCUAUCUGAGGUUGUCCAAAUCAGAAUUUGGUGGGCCAUCUAUAUCGGUGUUUCCUACUUGGAUUAUCAUAGUUGUAUCUGUAGCCUUGAUCAUCAUUCUGGUUCUCCUUGCUUUCUGGUUUUCCACCAGCAUAGGACAAGUCAUAUUAUGGCUAGAAGGACAUGCAGUUUGCCUUUGUAUUAUAAGAAAGGCCACAGGAAAUUUCUCUGGAGAAAAUGUCAUUGGCAGGGGCGGAUUUAGCGACGUCUACAUGGGGCGGCUAUUCGGUAGAGAGUUUGCUGCGAAGAAGCUCAGACGGGAUCGUCUUACUGAUAAAGGCAAGGAAGAUUUCAAAAGGGAAGUGAAAAUGAUGUCCACGCUCACGCAUGUCAAUCUUGCGAGGCUCCUCUACCAGUGCCGGGAAGGAAAUGAGUGGAUACUAGUCUAUGAAUACAUGGAGAAUAAAAGUUUGGAUUGCUAUAUUUUUGGAGAACAAAACGGGCUCGUCUCCUCGCUGAAUUGGGCUCAAAGACGGGAAAUAAUUCAUGGGAUCGCCAAAGGUGUUGAAUAUCUUCAUGGCAAGGGAUUCAUUCAUAGGGAUCUAAAACCUGGCAACAUACUUCUGAGUGACACGUGA